GAGGGUAUAGCUCAAGUGGUAGAGUACAUGCUUAGCAUACAUAGGGUCCUGGGUUCAAUCCCUAGUACCUCCU
rfam:Camelus ferus unplaced genomic scaffold scaffold1213, whole genome shotgun sequence.